GGUGAGGUGGCCGAGUGGUUGAAGGCAGCAGUUUCGAAAACUGCCAUGGGGGAAACCCCAUCGUGAGUUCGAAUCUCACCCUCACCG
rnacentral:tRNA from 1 species